rnacentral:pre_miRNA from 1 species
CAUGUACUCUCUCCGUCUGAAAAUAUUUGUCAUUGAAAUGGAUGUAUCUAGAUGUAUUUUAGUUCUAGACACAUCCAUUUUGAUGACAAGUAAUUCCGGACGGAGGGAGUACUUG